AUCUAUUCUUGACCUUUUGGCUAAGAUCAAGUGUAUAUCUGUUCUUACCAGUUUAAUAUAUAUACAAGUAUAAGUAAACUAGGGAAAUAAGAACAAAUUCACUGGAUUUUAC
rnacentral:snRNA from 1 species